GCCAGGCGUGGUGGCGUGCGCCUGUAGUCCCAGCUACUCGGGAGGCUGAGGUGGGAGGAUGGCUUGAGUCCAGGAGUUCUGGGCUGCAGUGCGCUAUGCCGAUUGGGUGUCCGCACUAAGAUCAGCAUCAAUAUGGUGACCUCCCGGGAGUGCGGGACCACCAGGUUGCCUAAGGAGGGGUGAACCGGCCCAGGUCGGAAACGGAGCAGGUCAAAACUCCCGUGCUGAUCAGUAGUGGGAUCGCGCCUGUGAAUAGCCACUGCACUCCAGCCUGGGCAAUGUAGUGAGACCCUGUCUCU
rnacentral:SRP_RNA from 1 species